rnacentral:rRNA from 1 species
UUGGAGGGCAAGUCUGGUGCCAGCAGCCGCGGUAAUUCCAGCUCCAAUAGCGUAUAUUAAAGUUGUUGCAGUUAAAAAGCUCGUAGUUGAAUUUCGGGAUCAAUAUGCCGGUCAUGCCUUGGUAUGCACUGGUAUCUUUGAUUUCUCCCUUCUGACGAACUUUGAUGUCAUUAAUUUGGUGUCAUAGGGAAUCAGGACUGUUACUUUGAAAAAAUUAGAGUGUUUAAAGCAGGCUCACGCUUGAAUACAUUAGCAUGGAAUAAUGAAAUAGGACGUUUGAUUCUAUUUUGUUGGUUUCUAGGAUCGNCGUAAUGAUUAAUAGGGAUAGUUGGGGGCAUUAGUAUUCAAUUGUCANAGGUGAAAUUCUUGGAUUCAUUGAAGGCUAACUACUGCGAAAGCAUUUGCCAAGGAUGUUUUCAUUAAUCAAGAACGAAAGUUAGGGGAUCGAANACGAUCAGAUACCGUCNUANUCUUAACCAUAAACUAUGCCGACUAGGGAUCGGAUGAUGUUAAUUUUNUAAUGACUCAUUCGGCGCCUUACGGGAAAC